AGUGAACGCUGGCGGCGUGCCUAAUACAUGCAAGUCGAACGCGAAAGUCCUUCGGGAUGAGUAAAGUGGCGCACGGGUGAGUAAUACAUGGGAACAUGCCCUUGGAUGGGGAAUAACGGUUGGAAACGAACGCUAAUACCGCAUAAUCUCGCGAGAGUAAAGGUGGCGCCGCAAGGGCUACCGUCCAAGGAUUGGCCCAUGUCCCAUUAGCUAGUUGGCGGGGUAAUGGCCCACCAAGGCAACGAUGGGUAACUGGUCUGAGAGGAUGGUCAGUCACACUGGAACUGAGACACGGUCCAGACUCCUACGGGAGGCAGCAGUAGGGAAUAUUGCACAAUGGGGGAAACCCUGACGCAGCAACGCCGCGUGAGUGAAGAAGGCCCUUGGGUUGUAAAGCUCUUUAGCGUGGGAAGAAGGUAGAUAUGGUGAACAAUCAUGUUUGCUGACGGUACCACGAGAAUAAGCACCGGCUAAUUUCCUGCCAGCCGCCGCCGUAA
rnacentral:rRNA from 1 species